AUACUUACCUGGCAGGGGAGAUACCAUGAUCACGAAGGUGGUUUUCCCAGGGCGAGGCUUAUCCAUUGUACUCCAGAUGUGCUGACCCCUGCGAUUUCCCCAAAUGUGAGAAAC
rnacentral:snRNA from 1 species